AGUUAAUAAGCUUUAAUAGCAAUUGUUUUGAAAACAUUAGAUAGAAACUCAAAUUUUCUAUUAACUUUACUAAAAAUAAUUAUUUAAAAUAAAAAAAUCUUUAAUCCAAUAAAAAAACAUAUAAAACAUAAAGAUGCAGGCAAGUAACUUUUUCAUACUAAAUAUAUUAAUUU
rnacentral:tRNA from 1 species